GGUCACCAGGGUGACCUGGCUGUGCCCUUUCACCCCAUGCUCACCAGGGUGGAAACAGCUGUUCUGGCUGCCUCAGAUGGUGUCCCUUCUUCUCUUUGAUCCAUGUGUGUCCCUCCCAAAGCUGCACACUCUGUCCAAAAAGAUAAUUUCCCCAGGCAGAGGGAGAACAUUCCCAGACAAGGACCCGUGAGUAUCUGGAGUCCCCUCUUAGACACCACACCCCAGUCAAGUUCUGAAGUAUGUCACUCUGGCUCAUGAGGUGGCACAGCACCCACUGCAGUGCCCUGUUGUGGCCUCUGUGCU
rnacentral:snRNA from 1 species